rnacentral:rRNA from 1 species
GUGCCAGCAGCCGCGGUAAGACGAACCGUGCGAACGUUGUUCGGAUUCACUGGGCUUAAAGGGCGCGCAGGCGGCUAUCCAAGUCAGGCGUGAAAGCCCCGGGCUUAACCUGGGAAGUGCGCGGAAACUGGCGAGCUUGAAUGCCGGAGAGGGUCGCGGAAUUCCCGGUGUAGAGGUGAAAUUCGUAGAUAUCGGGAGGAACACCAGUGGCGAAGGCAGCGACCUGGACGGACAUUGACGCUGAGACGCGAAAGCGUGGGGAGCAAACAGGAUUAGAUACCCUGGUAGUCCACGCUGUAAACGAUGGGUGCUAGUUGUGGUGGGUGUUGACCCCUGCCGUGACGCAGCUAACGCAAUAAGCACCCCGCCUGGGAAGUACGGCCGCAAGGCUAAAACUCAAAUGAAUUGACGG